rnacentral:rRNA from 1 species
AUUGAACGCUGGCGGCAGGCCUAACACAUGCAAGUCGAGCGGAUGAAGGGAGCUUGCUCCUGGAUUCAGCGGCGGACGGGUGAGUAAUGCCUAGGAAUCUGCCUGGUAGUGGGGGAUAACGUCCGGAAACGGGCGCUAAUACCGCAUACGUCCUGAGGGAGAAAGUGGGGGAUCUUCGGACCUCACGCUAUCAGAUGAGCCUAGGUCGGAUUAGCUAGUUGGUGGGGUAAAGGCCUACCCAGGCGACGAUCCGUAACUGGUCUGAGAGGAUGAUCAGUCACACUGGAGGUGAGACACGGUCGAGACUCCUACGGGAGGCAGCAGGGGGGAAUAUUGGACAAUGGGCGAAAGCCUGAUCCAGCCAUGCCGGGUGUGUUAAGAAGGUCUUCGGAUUGUAAAGCACUUUAAGUUGGGAGGAAGGGCAGUAAGUUAAUACCUUGCUGUUUUGACGUUACCAACAGAAUAAGCACCGGCUAACUUCGUG